AUGCUCACAGUGCGCAGGCACAGGGCCCUCGCCCUGUCAGUCGGCACUGCGUGCCGGCAGGUGGCUCUGUGGCCACGGUGCGGGCAGCGGUGGCAGCGGCUGGACUCCCGCACUACGAGCGGCCUCAGCACCUAGGAAAGCGCCGCGCCCUUCUCUCUGGAGUAACAAGCCCUCCUCAAAAAUGAGAAAAUUCAAUAUAUAUCUCCAUUUCGUGUUGUUCCAAUUUUUGCAGGUAAGGAUGAGUUCCACAUGGUAGUUGAAGUACCACGCUGGUCUAAUGCAAAAAUGGAGAUUGCUACAAUGGACCAUUUAAACCCCAUUAAACAAGAUGCGAAUAAAGGAAAACUUCAUUAUGUUGUGAAUUUGUUCCCGUAUAAAGGAUAUAUCUGGAACUAUGGAGCCAUCCCUCACACUUGGAAAGACCCAGGGCGCAAUGAUAAACCUACUGGCUGUUGUGGUGACAAUGGCCCAAUUGAUAUGUGCGAAAUUGGAAGCAAGGGAUGUGCAAGAGGUGAAAUAAUUGGCGUGAAAGUUCUAGGCAUAUUGGCUAUGAUUGAGGAAGGGGAACCCGACUGGAAAGUCAUUGCCAUUAAUGUGAAUGAUCCUGACGCAGCCAAUUAUAAUGAUAUCAAUGAUGUCAAACAGCUGAAACUGGCUACUUAGAAGCUACUGAGGACUGGUUUAGAAGGUACGAGGUUCCUGAUGGAAAACCAGAAAAUGAGUUUGCUUUUAAUGCAGAAUUUAAAGAUAAGGUUUGCAAUUUAUAUUAAAAGCACUCAUGAUCAUUGGAAAGCAUUAGUGAGUAAGAAAAUGAAUGGAAAAGAAAUCCAUUGCAUGAAUACAGCUGUGUCUGAGAGCCCCUUCAAGUGUGAUCCGGAUGCUGCCAGAGCCAUCGUGGAUGCUUUACCACCACCCUGUGAAUCUGCCUGCACACUACCAACAAAAGUGGAUAAGUGGUUCUAUCACCAGAAAAAUUAUUGAGAUUUCUCUGGAAU